CCUACGGGAGGCAGCAGUGGGGAAUAUUGCACAAUGGGGGAAACCCUGAUGCAGCGACGCCGCGUGAGUGAAGAAGUAAUUCGUUACGUAAAGCUCUAUCAGCAGGGAAGAAAAUGACGGUACCUGAGUACGAAGCACCGGCUAACUCCGCGCCAGCAGCCGCGGUAAUACGUAGGGGGCAAGCGUUAUCCGGAGUUACUGGGUGUAAAGGGAGCGUAGAUGGUGCGCCAAGUCUGGCGUGAAAUGCCGCAGCUUAACUGCGGAACUGCUUUGGAAACUGGCGAACUAGAGUGCGGGAGGGGUAAGCAGAAUUCCAGGUGUAGCGGUGAAAUGCGUAGAUAUUAGGAGGAACACCGGUGGCGAAGGCGGCUUACUGGACCGUAACUGACGUUGAGGUUCGAAAGCGUGGGGAGCAAACAGGAUUAGAUACCCUUGUAGUC
rnacentral:rRNA from 1 species